UCUCAUCACUCUCCCUCAUGUUUCCUAUCUCUCUCACGUUUCCUCUCUCACACACAUUACCCUCAUUUCCAUCAUCACACUCCAUCAACGUCUCUCUGCUACAAAAGAAAGCAAAUGAAAAGAAAAAGACCGACUGCUCUCUCUCUCAAAAAGAAGAAAAAGAAAACUAAAAAGAGAGGACAAUAAAAAGAAUCCUCACUCACUUUCCUCAACAACUCCCUCGCCACUACAACCGCCGGAAAACCCAACCUCCACAACAUCACUCCACUACAUCCAUACAACCUUCACGCACAGUUCCAUAUUCAAACCUUCACCACCCUCACAACCACCUCCUUUGCUCACUUCCCUCCCUCCACCUUCCAUUGACGUCACGAAUUCCAUCACCUUCUUCAACGUCUUCUCCCCACUCAUCCACCACCGCAAACCGUAAAUCACCUUCACCGGUGACGAAACCUCUUCACUUCGUCGUCGUCCCCAAAUCACCUCCUUCUCCACCUCCGUCACCUUCGCAACUCACAACCACCAUUUUUCACAAAUCGAACCACCACACCACACGCCAGCGAGCGCUCAAAGCCUUCAAACAAUCCCUCGCCACGUCUCCUUCCGCGCCGCCGCGAUUUCUGAGCGUCGCCGAGUCAUCGCGCCGCCGUCAUCUUCCGAUGAAGCUUAACCGUCCGAAUCCACAAACCCAACCUUCCUCAACCAAUAACGACGGCCUCGCAUCUCCCAUUUUUUAGUAGAGAGUGCUGCGAAGGGUUUUUUAUUAAAUCAGUUCGAGAUCGUGGUACAUGAUGGUGUAAACGGAACACGGAGCAACCACGAAGCAUCGACCGACACACAGCAGUAGCGAGUUCAACACAACACGAUAACAGUCGCCAGCGUAUUGGUUGAAUGGCGGGGUUACCGCGAUUAUUUUCUACUGCGGUUGUUGCCAAUUUUCUUCCACAUAUGUGUUGGAUUGUUAUCAGAAAGCGUUGAAUGGUCUUAGUUUACAUUACAUCCCGACUAUUGUAUGAUUUGAGUUCAUUGCAUUAUGUUUAGAUUUUAAAAUAUGUUUCAUGUGUUUGAAAGUUUGUAAUGAUAUGGUAUGUAUCGUGCUACUGCUAAUUGAUUGUGGCGUCGAAGUCGGAUAUUGCGUGAUGAACGUUUGAAACCGUCAUUUAUACAUGUUUAGAGGGCGCGGCGUUUUUAUUGAUCAUAUUAUACUUUAUUUCAUAUGGCGAUGCGGUAUUUUGAGGUUACCACCAUGUAUUUCUCCUGCUAUUGAUGCUAGCAGGACGUGACUGGGUUUAAUCCAUAACCUCCCAUGUAGGAUUUUGCAUGCUUUGUAGGAAUUUAUGGAUUUUGAAUAAGUUUUGUUUUCUUAUGGAAGCAAUUUAGGUUAGUUGUUAUAGCAGGGUAGGUUAUAUGUUAAUCCUGUUCUUAAUAAUCAUUACUAAAACGUUAAAGUAGCAAUGGCAAAAUAACAAUGAUUGGAAACGUCUCAAGGUGAUAA